rnacentral:rRNA from 1 species
UACAGAGGUCCCGAGCGUUGUUCGGAUUCAUUGGGCGUAAAGGGUGUGUAGGAGGUCUUGUAAGUCGGGCGUGAAAUCUCACCGCUUAACGGUGAAACUGCGUUCGAUACUGCUUGGCUAGAGGAUCGGAGGGGGUAUCGGAAUUCAUGGUGUAGCAGUGAAAUGCGUAGAUAUUCGGAAGAACACCAGUGGCGAAGGCGACUCACUGGACAUGUAUUGACGCUGAGGUACGAAAGCGUGGGGAGCAAACAGG